rnacentral:rRNA from 1 species
AUUGACCUCGGAUCAGGUAGGGACACCCCGCUGAACUUAAGCAUAUCAAUAA